rnacentral:snRNA from 1 species
GGAUGUGAGGGCGAUCUGGCUGUGACAUCUGUCACCCCAUUGAUCGCCAGGGUUGAUUCGGCUGAUCUGGCUGGCUAGGCGGGUGUCCCCUUCCUCCCUCAACGCUCCAUGUGCAUCCCUCCCGAAGCUGCGUGCUCGGUCUAAGAGGACAACCACCCCCGAUAGAGGAGGACCGUUCCUCGGUCAAGGGUAUACGAGUAGCUGCACUCCCCUGCUAGAAUCUCCAAACAAGCUCUCUAAAUUUGGAUAAAUUCAAGCCUGUGGGAAAGUUCUAGAAGAGUAAUACAAUAAAGAUUAUUGAUAACUU